CGUGGGGGGUGGUGUCCUUCAGCCCGGAUUGCAAGAGGGCACAGGCCAGCCUGAAGGACCCCACUGGUGCAGG
rnacentral:pre_miRNA from 1 species